rnacentral:tRNA from 1 species
GCGGCCGUGGCGGAAUCGGCAGACGCCCUGGCUUUAGGUGCCAGUGGGCCUUGUGCCCGUGAGGGUUCGAAUCCCUCCGGCCGCA